AUUCUGGCUCAGAUUGAACGCUGGCGGCGUGCUUAACACAUGCAAGUCGAACGCGAACGGGGCUUCGGCCCCAAGUAGAGUGGCGCACGGGUGAGUAACGCGUGGACAAUCUGCCCUUAUGACUGGAAUAACAGUUGGAAACGGCUGCUAAUACCGGAUACGCUCAGGAAGAACUUUUUGAGGAAAGGCGGCCUCUGCUUGCGAGCUGUCGCAUAAGGAUGAGUCCGCGUCCCAUUAGCUAGUUGGCGGGGUAACGGCCCACCAAGGCAACGAUGGGUAGCCGAUUUGAGAGGAUGAUCGGCCACACUGGGACUGAAACACGGCCCAGACUCCUACGGGAGGCAGCAGUGGGGAAUAUUGCGCAAUGGGCGAAAGCCUGACGCAGCGACGCCGCGUGAGGGAAUGAAGGUUUUCGGAUCGUAAACCUCUGUCAGAAGGGAAGAAACUGCCGUGCUCUAAUCAUCAUGGCAUUGACGGUACCUUCAAAGGAAGCACCGGCUAACUCCGUGCCAGCCGCGGC
rnacentral:rRNA from 1 species